rnacentral:rRNA from 1 species
UACGUAGGGGGGCAAGCGUUAUCCGGAAUCAUUGGGCGUAAAGCGCGUGUAGGCGGUUCCGUAAGUCCGCUCUGAAGGCCCAGGGCUCAACCCUGGGAGGCGGGUGGAUACUACGGAACUGGAGUAGGAAGAGGAGAUUGGAAUUCCUGGUGUAGCGGUGAAAAUGCGCAGAUAUCAGGAGGAACACCCAACAGCAAGGCGAUCUCUGGGGACGUUUAU